GAUGAACGCUGGCGGCGUGCUUAACACAUGCAAGUCGAACGAAGCACCUUGAUUCGAUUCUUCGGAUGAAGAUCUUGGUGACUGAGUGGCGGACGGGUGAGUAACGCGUGGGUAACCUGCCUCAUACAGGGGGAUAACAGUUAGAAAUGACUGCUAAUACCGCAUACGACCACAGCACCGCAUGGUGCAGGGGUAAAAACUCCGGUGGUAUGAGAUGGACCCGCGUCUGAUUAGGUAGUUGGUGGGGUAACGGCCUACCAAGCCGACGAUCAGUAGCCGACCUGAGAGGGUGACCGGCCACAUUGGGACUGAGACACGGCCCAAACUCCUACGGGAGGCAGCAGUGGGGAAUAUUGCACAAUGGGGGAAACCCUGAUGCAGCGACGCCGCGUGAGCGAUGAAGUAUUUCGGUAUGUAAAGCUCUAUCAGCAGGGAAGAAAAUGACGGUACCUGACUAAGAAGCACCGGCUAAAUACGUG
rnacentral:rRNA from 1 species